rnacentral:rRNA from 1 species
UUGUUUAUACAACCAGGAGGUUGGCUUAGAAGCAGCAACCCUUUAAAGAAAGCGUAAUAGCUCACUGGUCUAAUGAUACCGCGCCGAAAAUUUAACGGGGCUAAGCAUAGUACCGAAGCUACGGAUUGAAAUUUAUUUCAAUGGUAGGAGAACAUUGUGGCCGCCUGUGAAGGUACACCGAAAGGAGUGCUGGAGGUUCCACAAGAGCUUAUGUUGACACGAGUAGCGAAAAACAAGGUGAGAAACCUUGUCGCCGAAAGCCUCAG